CAAAACAACAACAUGUAGGAGUGAUAUUGACCCUGGUCUGAGGACGUGUUCGUCAGUUCAGGUCUGUUAACCUUUGUGACUGAUGGAUGGGAAGAAGAGCAGCAGCUGAUAACCUUCCUCAGCUGUUGUGUUGAUCGAUCAGCGUCCUAAUCUGAGGAAUGUCGACUCCAUAAAUGAAACGCUGCAGGGCCAGUGUGCGCAGGUGAUCCUGGCUGACCAGAGGGUUGAUGUGCUCCUGGACGUCGCUGACAAACUGCUGCCAUGACGUCAGCUGGUUGGGUCCGCUCAGCUUCCUCCAGGUCGGCAGCGUGGUCAGCAAACGCUCCGACAACAGCAUCAUGGGACUACACCUCUACAACAGGAAGUGGAUUCACUGAGAAACAGCACAUAUCUGAUUAUAUAUGGCAUCUGUCCGUCCUCUGCUGCCCUCCUGGAGGUUUCUUCCAUUUAUUUCGCUGUUACACGAGUGUUUAGGGGAGUUCUUCCUUCAAAUCUGAAUCGACGGUCUAAGGACGGAGGAUGUCGUAUGUUGUACAGAUUCUAAGUUUCUUGAGCCAAAUUUGUGAUUUUGAGCUGGAUAAAUAAAACUGUCUUGCUUUGAUUAGAGCAAAAUACAACAAGAAUGAGGCAUAACUUCUACCUUCAAAACUCUGCACAACAGCUGCUGAAAAUAUAAAUUCUCAACUGAUCGAAUAAAAUGUAAAUAUAAAUUGUU